UGAACGCUGGCGGCGUGCCUACUACAUGCAAGUCGAGCGAACGGACGCGAAGCUUGCUUCUCUGAUGUUAGCGGCGGACGGGUGAGUAACACGUGGAUAACCUACCUAUAAGACUGGGAUAACUUCGGGAAACCGGAGCUAAUACCGGAUAAUAUUUUGAACCGCAUGGUUCAAAAGUGAAAGACGGUCUUGCUGUCACUUAUAGAUGGAUCCGCGCUGCAUUAGCUAGUUGGUAAGGUAACGGCUUACCAAGGCAACGAUGCAUAGCCGACCUGAGAGGGUGAUCGGCCACACUGGAACUGAGACACGGUCCAGACUCCUACGGGAGGCAGCAGUAGGGAAUCUUCCGCAAUGGGCGAAAGCCUGACGGAGCAACGCCGCGUGAGUGAUGAAGGUCUUCGGAUCGUAAAACUCUGUUAUUAGGGAAGAACAUAUGUGUAAGUAACUGUGCACAUCUUGACGGUACCUAAUCAGAAAGCCACGGCUAACUACGUG
rnacentral:rRNA from 1 species